rnacentral:lncRNA from 1 species
UAUAACCAAGCAAACAAUGACAUCUUCACCUGCACUACUAUCAUCAUCACCUGCACCACCGAGCUGAACAAGGCUUCCAAAACAAACAUUUGUGAGAUAGAUUUCAGGGGUACCCUCAAUUCUGACAUCUUCGACUGAUUUCGUUUCAAGGUCAUACCAAAGAAAUCUUUGAAAUUUGUCCAAAAGCAAUUAUCCUCCACACUUUGAAUAUGUCCUCAAAUCGCAACGUGUUCUCUCAUAUAUCUGCGGUUUGAACUGAAUCAAUCUGAUUCCGAUUUUGCAAGCAAUCACUGUUCCAGAGUGCCAUGAUCCUAAAAACCCCUCCUCAGAACUCCUUACAUACACAGAAAUCGACAUUUUAAGAAAAAAUCUUUGGAUUCCAAAACCCAAACUAGCUACAAAAUAAUCAAAAUAAAGACCAAAAAAAUAAAGGAUUUCAAUACACUUUCUAACUUCAAUAAGACAGAGCAAGAAUCUAUGGACCGAAAACAGAAAAAAUUCAUGAAAAAUCCAAUAACUUAUCUACCCAAUCUAAUCUCAAAUUAAUCACUGCAUUUACAAAAAGGAAAUAAAAAUCAAUUGUUAAGACGCAUUAACUGGCUCAAUUAAUAGAACCCCAAAUUCAUUAUCAACCUCAAAAUCGAACAAAACCCACAUGCAAACAUAGAAACAUCAAAAUCACAUACAAAUAAACACAAAAAUAGUAUAAUCUAACAAAAUGCAUGUAAAAUUGAAGCGAGAUCGUUCAUAAAAACCAAAAGAAUCAAAACUCUAAAACCCACCAUUACAAAAUAAAACAAAAAAUCUUAAAAACUCAAAUCCAAAGGAUUAUUUUCAAAUAAUCAACAAGACCAGGAACCCCAAAAAAGGCUACAAGUAAAAUUCACCUAAAAAAUUGCUUUUAAGUUAUACACACCAAAUUUCAAAUUUUUUAAAACAAAAUACGAAAAAGAUAAACUUGAAUUAAGUGAAUUUACUUCAACUUUCUGAUCAACGACAAGCUUUGGAUGAUUCCCUCAAUUUUCGGCAAUGUUCUUCUCCCUGUAAACGCCUCAUCUUCCAUGUCUACCGCCAUUAAAGAGGAUCUUGAGCUUUACGUGGGCUUGUUUUGUAGUAGUAGUAGUAUUAUUCUGAAGUGUCUUUGGUGGGAUCAG